rnacentral:rRNA from 1 species
GACGAACGCUGGCGGCGUGCCUAAUACAUGCAAGUAGAACGCUGAAGAGAGGAGCUUGCUCUUCUUGGAUGAGUUGCGAACGGGUGAGUAACGCGUAGGUAACCUGCCUUGUAGCGGGGGAUAACUAUUGGAAACGAUAGCUAAUACCGCAUAACAAUGGAUGACACAUGUCAUUUAUUUGAAAGGGGCAAUUGCUCCACUACAAGAUGGACCUGCGUUGUAUUAGCUAGUAGGUGAGGUAAUGGCUCACCUAGGCGACGAUACAUAGCCGACCUGAGAGGGUGAUCGGCCACACUGGGACUGAGACACGGCCCAGACUCCUACGGGAGGCAGCAGUAGGGAAUCUUCGGCAAUGGGGGCAACCCUGACCGAGCAACGCCGCGUGAGUGAAGAAGGUUUUCGGAUCGUAAAGCUCUGUUGUAAGUCAAGAACGGGUGUGAGAGUGGAAAGUUCACACUGUGACGGUAGCUUACCAGAAAGGGACGGCUAACUACGUGCCAGCAGCCGCGGUAAUACGUAGGUCCCGAGCGUUGUCCGGAUUUAUUGGGCGUAAAGCGAGCGCAGGCGGUUUGAUAAGUCUGAAGUUAAAGGCUGUGGCUCAACCAUAGUUCGCUUUGGAAACUGUCAAACUUGAGUGCAGAAGGGGAGAGUGGAAUUCCAUGUGUAGCGGUGAAAUGCGUAGAUAUAUGGAGGAACACCGGUGGCGAAAGCGGCUCUUUGGUCUGUAACUGACGCUGAGGCUCGAAAGCGUGGGGAGCGAACAGGAUUAGAUACCCUGGUAGUCCACGCCGUAAACGAUGAGUGCUAGGUGUUGGAUCCUUUCCGGGAUUCAGUGCCGCAGCUAACGCAUUAAGCACUCCGCCUGGGGAGUACGACCGCAAGGUUGAAACUCAAAGGAAUUGACGGGGGCCCGCACAAGCGGUGGAGCAUGUGGUUUAAUUCGAAGCAACGCGAAGAACCUUACCAGGUCUUGACAUCCCGAUGCUAUUUCUAGAGAUAGAAAGUUACUUCGGUACAUCGGUGACAGGUGGUGCAUGGUUGUCGUCAGCUCGUGUCGUGAGAUGUUGGGUUAAGUCCCGCAACGAGCGCAACCCCUAUUGUUAGUUGCCAUCAUUCAGUUGGGCACUCUAGCGAGACUGCCGGUAAUAAACCGGAGGAAGGUGGGGAUGACGUCAAAUCAUCAUGCCCCUUAUGACCUGGGCUACACACGUGCUACAAUGGUUGGUACAACGAGUUGCGAGUCGGUGACGGCGAGCUAAUCUCUUAAAGCCAAUCUCAGUUCGGAUUGUAGGCUGCAACUCGCCUACAUGAAGUCGGAAUCGCUAGUAAUCGCGGAUCAGCACGCCGCGGUGAAUACGUUCCCGGGCCU